CCUCUCGGCAGCCAUGGCGGCGUACGGGCUGGUGGCUUCGUCUCUUCCGUGGUUGACCUGGGACACCGCAGACGACCCUCCAUAGCUCUCGGCCUGCUGGCGGGAAGACUGCGUCUCGUACUGCUGAUCGUAAAAAAAGUGUCGCGUUCUUUUCCCUCCGAGGGCUCAGUCGCCCUAAUGUGUGCAGCAGACUAACCUUGCGGGAGUUUGUCUGCUGGGAAUUAAGAAGCCGUGAGGACAUGUUGGGGUCUUCGGAAAGCUGGUGACAAAGCUCUGCUCAUGGUGUGGACUUGAUGCCCAAUGCACAGCAGUGGCCCGUUGAGGUAAGAGGUGGGCUGGCUGCGCCGGAGCGUGCUCAGGUGGGAUGUGUGCAGCUGCCCUGAAUGUGCUGUCCUAGAUCUGUCAGCACCGCAGGCACAGCACAGCUACUCAGCUGUGUCUGUGACGUCAGGGCAAAGAGCAAGUGGCUAUUUCUACGCUCAGUGUUCAGAAGCCAGUGAGCACUAAGAAUGGUUUAUAGCCUGACAUUUUGCAGAGCCAUAGUGAGGUGGAACUGGGAUGUGGCUUUGUUGGUGGCCAGACCCCAGUGUCAGAGACCUCAAGGGCUCACCAAAAGGUUGCAUGGUCAGCAUUUUGGCCAGAUAGAACUUUGGAGUUGGGAGUGGCUGCAAACUGGGUUUGUGGGGAGGGCAUUCAGAGGAGUCAGGAAAUAUAAAACUAUUCAUCCUUUCUCAUUUUUCAGAUCCAGGAGCCAGGAAGAAUAAGGCCUACCUUUUGGUCACGUGACUAAUCAGGACAGGUGCAGAUGUGAUUAUAGGCCAUGAGCUUCAAAUGUGGCCUCUGUGACUUCACCAGGGACCUGCAGAACCACCCAUACAGGCUUUGGGCAGCUCUAUGCUUCUAUCCUGGCAACCCACAUCCUAAAUUACAGACCACAUUGUGUUGGCUUGAACUGUUCCUUCAAGACUGAAGUGAGAUAUGUGUAGUAGCACUAGAGGUGGAGGGCCCUCUUAAGAUCCAGCAUUUCCAUCUAACUAAGUGCAUGGGGCCUUAGAAGUGAUAAUUAUGGAGCGGGGAGAAGCUAGCUGUAGGUGCUUGUGACACAAAUAAACUUGUUAAUUCUUGAA